GAGAGAGACAUGCGCGCAUAUCAAUAAGCGGAGGAAAAGAAACUAACAAGGAUUCCCUUAGUAACGGCGAGUGAAGCGGGAAGAGCUCAAAUUUGAAAUCUUCAAGGUUUUACCUUGACGAAUUGUAGUUUAAAGAAGUGUUUUCUGCUGAAGUUUUGGUAAAAGUUCUUUGGAAUAGGACAUCAUAGAGGGUGAGAAUCCCGUAUUUGACCAUUAUUUUCCAGCUUUGUGAUACACUUUCAAAGAGUCGGAUUGUUUGGGAAUGCAGUCCAAAAUGGGUGGUAAAUUUCAUCUAAAGCUAAAUAUUGGCGAGAGACCGAUAGCGAACAAGUACCGUGAGGGAAAGAUGAAAAGAACUUUGAAAAGAGAGUUAAACAGUACGUGAAAUUGUCAAAAGGGAAGCGUUUGACACCAGUGUUGUUUUCUCGAAAAUCAAUUAAAAAUGGCUCGAUUUUGUAUUGUUGAGACCUUAAAAGCUCACUGUACAUUUUUUCGUGUCUUUUUUAAUGCACUUUUCGUUUAACAAGUCAACAUCAGUUUCUUUUGUUGUAAAAGGGUCAUUGGAAGGUGGCUUUCUUUUCGGAGAAAGUGUUUAUAGCCUUUGGCCUCUGCAAUCGGAGAGACUGAGGUCUGCAGCGUAGACUCUUCGGGGUUAGAUACAUUUGUGCUAAGUUAUAGCUUUUUAUAGACAACUUGUUGACUAUAAUUAGUCUUGUAGCUUACUCGCUUAUGCUAUUUUACCUACGCUUAGGAUGUUGAAGAUGUAGCACAUCAU
rnacentral:rRNA from 1 species